GACAGAAAGGGCAACCCAUCGGAGUUAUGAAUUGGUGUAAAGGGUACGUAGCCGGUAACGUCAAGUUACUAGAGUCCAAUAGAAGUAAGAACAAUACCUAGAGUAGGGCUGAUAUCUCAUAAUACUAGGGGGAGAGCUAAUGGCGAAAGCAUCUUACUAGGUAAGGACUGACGGUAAGGUACGAAGGCUAGGGCAUGAAUAGGG
rnacentral:rRNA from 1 species